CACGUAGGGCGCAAGCGUUGUCCGGAAUCAUUGGGCGUAAAGCGCGUGUAGGCGGCCCGAUUAGUCCGCUGUGAAAGUCCAGGGCUCAACCCUGGGAUGCCGGUGGAUACUGUCGGGCUCGAGUCCGGAAGAGGCGAGUGGAAUUCCUGGUGUAGCGGUGAAAUGCGCAGAUAUCAGGAGGAACACCAAUGGCGAAGGCAGCUCGCUGGGACGUGACUGACGCUGAGACGCGAAAGCGUGGGGAGCAAACAGG
rnacentral:rRNA from 1 species